GGGGAAGGGUUUAUCGGGAUUACUGGGGCGUAAAGCGCACGCAGGCGGUCUGUCAAGUCGGAUGUGAAAUCCCCGGGCUCAACCUGGGAACUGCAUUCGAAACUGGCAGGCUAGAGUCUUGUAGAGGGGGGUAGAAUUCCAGGUGUAGCGGUGAAAUGCGUAGAGAUCUGGAGGAAUACCGGUGGCGAAGGCGGCCCCCUGGACAAAGACUGACGCUCAGGUGCGAAAGCGUGGGGAGCAAACAGGAUUAGAUACCCUGGUAGUCCACGCCGUAAACGAUGUCGACUUGGAGGUUGUGCCCUUGAGGCGUGGCUUCCGGAGCUAACGCGUUAAGUCGACCGCCUGGGGAGUACGGCCGCAAGGUUAAAACUCAAAUGAAUUGACGGGGGCCCGCACAAGCGGUGGAGCAUGUGGUUUAAUUCGAUGCAACGCGAAGAACCUUACCUACUCUUGACAUCCAGAGAACUUUCCAGAGAUGCAUUGGUGCCUUCGGGAACUCUGAGACAGGUGCUGCAUGGCUGUCGUCAGCUCGUGUUGUGAAAUGUUGGGUUAAGUCCCGCAACGAGCGCAACCCUUAUCCUUUGUUGCCAGCGGUCCGGCCGGGAACUCAAAGGAGACUGCCAGUGAUAAACUGGAGGAAGGUGGGGAUGACGUCAAGUCAUCAUGGCCCUUACGAGUAGGGCUACACACGUGCUACAAUGGCGCAUACAAAGAGAAGCGACCUCGCGAGAGCAAGCGGACCUCAUAAAGUGCGUCGUAGUCCGGAUUGGAGUCUGCAACUCGACUCCAUGAAGUCGGAAUCGCUAGUAAUCGUGGAUCAGAAUGCCACGGUGAAUACGUUCCCGGGCCUUGUACACACCGCCCGUCACACCAUGGGAGUGGGUUGCAAAAGAAGUAGGUAGCUUAACCUUCGGGAGGGCGCUUACCACUUUGUGAUUCAUGACUGGGGUGAAGUCGUACAGGGGGGGAACCCGAAAAAAGGGGGG
rnacentral:rRNA from 1 species